UACGUAGGGUGCGAGCGUUGUCCGGAAUUAUUGGGCGUAAAGGGCUCGUAGGCGGUUUGUCGCGUCGGGAGUGAAAACCCCGGGCUUAACUCGGUGCUUGCUUUCGAUACGGGCAGACUAGAGGCAUGCAGGGGAGAACGGAAUUCCUGGUGUAGCGGUGAAAUGCGCAGAUAUCAGGAGGAACACCGGUGGCGAAGGCGGUUCUCUGGGACGGUACUGACGCUGAGACGCGAAAGCGUGGGGAGCAAACAGG
rnacentral:rRNA from 1 species